rnacentral:rRNA from 1 species
AACGUAGGGGGCGAGCGUUAUCCGGAAUUACUGGGCGUAAAGGGCGCGUAGGCGGGAUGGCAAGUCGGUCGUGAAAUCCCUCGGCUCAACUGAGGAUCGUCGAUCGAUACUGCCGUUCUUGAGGAUUGCAGAGGAGACUGGAAUUCCCGGUGUAGCGGUGAAAUGUGUAGAGAUCGGGAGGAACACCGGUGGCGAAGGCGGGUCUCUGGGCAAUUCCUGACGCUGAGGCGCGAAAGCGUGGGGAGCAAACGGG